rnacentral:rRNA from 1 species
AGAGUUUGAUCCUGGCUCAGGAUGAACGCUGGCGGCGUGCUUAACACAUGCAAGUCGAACGAAGCGCUAUUGACAGAAUCUUCGGAGGAUGGAUCUAGUGACUGAGUGGCGGACGGGUGAGUAACGCGUGGGUAACCUGCCUCAUACAGGGGGAUAACAGUUAGAAAUGACUGCUAAUACCGCAUAAGCGCACAGCAUUGCAUGAUGCAGUGUGAAAAACUCCGGUGGUAUGAGAUGGACCCGCGUCUGAUUAGCUAGUUGGUAAGGUAACGGCUUACCAAGGCGACGAUCAGUAGCCGGCCUGAGAGGGUGAACGGCCACAUUGGGACUGAGACACGGCCCAAACUCCUACGGGAGGCAGCAGUGGGGAAUAUUGCACAAUGGGGGAAACCCUGAUGCAGCGACGCCGCGUGAACGAAGAAGUAUUUCGGUAUGUAAAGUUCUAUCAGCAGGGAAGAAAAUGACGGUACCUGACUAAGAAGCUCCGGCUAAAUACGUGCCAGCAGCCGCGGUAAUACGUAUGGAGCAAGCGUUAUCCGGAUUUACUGGGUGUAAAGGGAGCGUAGACGGAUCUGCAAGUCUGAUGUGAAAGGCCAGGGCUCAACUCUGGGACUGCAUUGGAAACUGUGGAUCUUGAGUGCCGGAGAGGUAAGCGGAAUUCCUAGUGUAGCGGUGAAAUGCGUAGAUAUUAGGAGGAACACCAGUGGCGAAGGCGGCUUACUGGACGGUAACUGACGUUGAGGCUCGAAAGCGUGGGGAGCAAACAGGAUUAGAUACCCUGGUAGUCCACGCGGUAAACGAUGAAUACUAGGUGUUGGGCAGCAAAGCUGUUCGGUGCCGCAGCAAACGCAAUAAGUAUUCCACCUGGGGAGUACGUUCGCAAGAAUGAAACUCAAAGGAAUUGACGGGGACCCGCACAAGCGGUGGAGCAUGUGGUUUAAUUCGAAGCAACGCGAAGAACCUUACCAAGUCUUGACAUUUCCCUGACCGGCGCGUAAUGGUGCCUUCUCUUCGGAGCAGGGAAGACAGGUGGUGCAUGGUUGUCGUCAGCUCGUGUCGUGAGAUGUUGGGUUAAGUCCCGCAACGAGCGCAACCCUUAUCUUCAGUAGCCAGCAUUUCGGGUGGGCACUCUGGAGAGACUGCCAGGGAUAACCUGGAGGAAGGUGGGGAUGACGUCAAAUCAUCAUGCCCCUUAUGACUUGGGCUACACACGUGCUACAAUGGCGUAAACAAAGGGAAGCGAGCCUGCGAGGGGGAGCAAAUCUCAAAAAUAACGUCCCAGUUCGGACUGCAGUCUGCAACUCGACUGCACGAAGCUGGAAUCGCUAGUAAUCGCGAAUCAGAAUGUCGCGGUGAAUACGUUCCCGGGUCUUGCACACACCGCCCGUCA